UUAUGUAGCAGUUUGUAAGAGCUUUAAUUAACAUAGUCAAGUAUUUUUUUCCGUUCAUUUUUGUAUUUGUAUAUAUUCACAGGGUGCAAAUGCAGUUUUGCUACAUUGACAUACUGCAUUGUGGUGGAGUCAAAGCUUUAGUGCACCCAUCACUGAAGCAACACACAUUGUACCCACCAAGCAACCUCCCAUCAUCCACUCCUCCAGGUCUCCACUAUCAUUCCACGCCUGGUCUGCUUCCACAUGUACACGUUAUUUAGCUCCCACUUAUAAGUGAGAACAUGCAAUAUUUGUAUUUUCUGUGUCUGAGUUGUUUUUCUUAAGGUAACGUCACCAAGUCCAUCCAUGUUGCUACAAAAGACGAAUAGUAUUCCAUUGUGUGUGUUUACCACAUUUUCUUUAUCCAGUCCUCCAUUGAUGGACACUUAGGUUGAUUCCAUGUCUUUGCCAUUCAACAAGUAUCAUUAAAUGUACUGUAUUAGGCAUUGAGUUGAGAACGCAGAGCUAAAAUGCCCUUUCCUCAAAAAUCAAGUGAAGGGGAGUUCAGUGUCCCAGUGGGGUGAUAAUGUUUGCACAGGUUGUGGGAGCACGAGGGAGGUUGCCAACAGCUCCCAAUUGGAGGAAACAGGCAAGGUUUCUUGAAGGACAGGAGCCCUGAAAGAUGACUCAAAGGCCUGGCGGGAUAGAGAAUUCCAGGAAGGGUGUUUUAGGUAGAGGGAGUCACAUGUGCAGCUCUAAGAACUAUAACAACGUGAGGGAGGGCAGGCAGGUGUCCUGCUUUGAAAGGUGAGGAGCCUGAAAUUCUGAGGUUUGCUGAACAUGUGUGUCAUACAGCUAGUUACGGUGACAACUCAGACUAGAAUUCACAUUAUCCAUCUUUCUCUGCUUUUUCCAAUAUGUCACACUUGAUACUUGAGGUGAAGCAGUUAAUCCCCAAGUGACAAGAAUCUAUCUAAUUUAAAGCAUUUCCCAAUGGAUGACUCAGUUCAGUCAGUAACUGAACAAAAGUACAUUCACAGACAGUCCCUUGGAAAGCUAUUUAUGGAGGGUUUCAACCUAAUGUGUGUCAUGAUUUCUCUAAUGAUUCACUCCAGGUUUUGGCUACAAAGGUGUUUUUGAAUACAUGUCCCCAAUUACAAUUUUUGAGUCAGUUCUGCCUUUGUAUGAAUAUUUCUCCCAGGUGUGUCCCCAGAUUUACAGAAUAGCAAUAUUUUCCCCCAGCCAAUUUGCCCACAUCAGAAGCCACGGUGGGCUCUCUUCAGAAGUGGAGUCCUCCCGUGGCUGCAGUUUGGAGUCCGCGCCCUACAGAGUGACCCAGGUGUGGGAAGUGCCCUACUGAAGGCGGAAGGCCCUUCUGACAAAGGAGUCUUGACCGGCCUGUUGCUUUUGCUCUACUGCUGCCUCCAGAAACUCACACGAGCUCAUCAGGAUCAGCCUUCCCUUUCUUAGUGGAGUUGUCAACAGGAGAAGGCAGCGUAGCAUAGCUGGUCAACAGCAGAUACCGGAAUCCAGGAGUCAUGGAUUAGAAUCUCGCUUUGUGACACUGACCAGCACGUGACCCUUAGGCACGUGACUUCCCCUAGAUAGGUCACUCUCCUCAUCUAAAUCAAGCCAUUGCUCUUACACUACUUGAAAUCCUGUGUGUUCCCAGAGUGUUUACCAAGACACACUAAUCCCGAAAGAAUCUUUGGCCAGCGUCUUGCUCUCAAGCCACUUUCUGAGUCAUCUAACAGGGUUUUCAAGAGAAGGGCCCCGGUCCUGCCCAUCAUGGUGCCGAGAGCCAGGCCUUGGGAAUCGAGUCUCUGCUGCCGCUAGAAGUGCUGUCCGGAGCUGCCAGCACUCGUCUGUGUCACAUCAGGACAGCUGGCUUUGCCAUUCAUCACAGAGAAUGUUUGCUCCAAAAGCAGACUUUGUCUCCUUGCUGUUCCAUCUCUAGCACCGGCGCAGCGCCUGGCACGUGGCAGGUUGUCAACACGCAUCUGUGCGACACUGGACUUGUGACAGUCCCACAGCUGUCCCGAGCUGCUUCCCAGCACCCGUGUGUCUGGCCCUCGCAGGGACGCGAGGAGGUGGGCAGACCGAGGAUCAGGUAAGUCAAAGGAAGCCCAGAGGGGUGAAGAGAUUGGCCUGAACUCCCAGCACUGGUAACGGGGAAGCUGGGGUUUGGGCUCUGGCUCGUGACUCUGCGCGUUCCACCGCUGACCUGGGCAGCCCUGGAGGACUCACUGCUUAUCAGUUGCAUCGUUGUGUCGUCCGCCGUGGGCAGGAGACCGAGCCCCGAGGGCAGGAUUCCCACUCUCCCCUCUCCGUGAGCGUGACCAGGGGGUCUUGGGCUUGCCUCCCCUCAGAGUGUGCAGGACAGGAGCCUUGCACCCUGCCUGCCAGCGGUGGCCUCCUGGGGGCCCGGCAGAGGGCGCUGAUGUAGCCCAUCCCCCUGCACUACCUCCUGUGUCCUGCGUCUGCCGCUCCCCGCUCUGUGCUCAGGUGUCUCCUUGUCCGGAGCCCUUGCUUUCCCUUGGAGGAUUCUGCUGGCAAAAUUCUCUCUCAAGCUAGUGAGACAAGUGGGCACGACUUUGUAAACCUCUGUCCUCCUGGCCCCACUGGACAGCUGAGAGCCACAGCGGCCCACACUGCCCCCUCGCUCAGAGGUGUCGGAUGGAAUCUGUGCUGGUGCAGAGUGGUGGUGGUGGGGCUCUGCGGAGCCAGGAGGAAGGCCAAGUCGGCAGACGCAGGAAAGAAAGACUGGAAAGUCCUCCCUGGCACGUUUGCAGGGAAAACCGCCUUUCCUGCAGGGUUCAGCUUCUCUAGGAUUUUCCCUGCUCUCUUUCAGUUCACAUGACACCUUGUCACAUCUCCGUGUGGCCCCAGCACCUUGUCCCUGUUGCCAUCUGGGCCGUUCUGGUGCCUGCCUUCCCACUGAGGGAAGAGACUGAGUCUCACCGCUGUGUCCCCAGCCCCUAGCGCAGGCGGCACAGCGGAGGUGCUCACUUGUGAAUGCGCACUGAACACGUUAAUUCAGCGUGGGGAACUGGGUGCAUUGCGAUGGGACUGGAAGCUCUGGGAAAUGGUAAGGCAGAGGCGGCCACAAAUGAGAAGAAACAUUCAAGUCAUUUCAACAAGCAUUCAUUGAUAAUGACCCUGUCUUUAGUUUCUGUCUAGUGGGCUGGGGCAGGUAUGUACAAAAAUUAUUACAACUGACUGUAUCAACUAUAUUAACUCAUUCAGAGCUACCACAAAGUCAAUGAAGUUUGCUUCAAGGCCACCCUCUUACAUAGGACUCUUUCUGGCCCCUGAACCUAAUUGUGUGUUCCAUGCAACUGUAUAAAAUUCAGGUUCCACAAAA